GCGGACCUUGACAAACCUUUGUAUUCCAUGUCAUGCUUAUUAGAAAACCGAGAGACAAUACAACCAGUAGCGUUGGAUCCCUUGGCACGUCGUUCGAUGAAGACCGUUGCAAAAUGCGAUAAGUGGUGUGAUAUGCAAGUCCAAAACUUAUACGUGAACCAUCGAAUUGUUGAACGCACUGCAUCGAGCCUUAUCCAGGAACGAUACGCCCCAUUGAGCGUCAUUAUGUCUUCGCGACUUGUUGCUUUUCACAGAGCGACCUGUCCGGGCUCGGGAUUCACGACCCUUGGGUCGCGCUUCCUCAGAUACAUUGGCUGCGCCGGCGUGAACGGCGACCUUGUCAUGAAUGUCGAGGUGUGCCGUGAGCUCUGCAUGCAGGAUCCUUCGCAACGUCGAUGGAUCAGACGCGUUCCGGCCUCUGAGCCGGGAUUGCAACUUCUCCACAUGACCUCACGGGGGUGGGACGACCCGCUAGACUUAAGCAUAUUAAUCAGCGGAGGAAAAGAAACUAACAAGGAUUCCCCCAGUAACUGCGAGUGAAGAGGGAUUAGC
rnacentral:rRNA from 1 species